GGGCGGGAGGUGGGGUGAGGCGAGCUGGACGUGCGGGCGCGGUCGGCCUCUGGCGGGGCGGGGGAGGGGAGGGUCAGCGAAAGUGGCUGGCGCGUGAGCGGCCUCCCACCCUCCCCUUCCUCUGGGGGAGUCGUUUUACCCGCCGCCGGCCUGGCCUCGUCAUCUGAUUGGCUCUCGGGGCUCAGAAAACUGGCCUUUGCAAUUGGCCCGCGUUCAUGCAAGUUCAGUCCCUAAGCUGGCUGGCGGGGGCGGCAGGGAGGCGCUCACAGGUUCCGGCCCUCCCCCCAGGCCCCGCGCCGCAGAGUCUGGCCCCGCGCCCCUGCGCAACGUGGCAGGAAGCGCGCGCUGGGGGCGGGGACGGGCGGUCGGUCUGAGCGGCGGGCGGGUGCAAGCGGGAUUCCUCCUUGAGUUGUGGCACUGAGGAACGUGCUGAACAAGACCUACAUUGCACUCCAGGGAGUGGAUGAAGGAGUUGGGGCUCAGUCGGGUUGUUUUGGAGGCAGGAAGCACUACUUGCUCUCCAAAAGUCGGUUUGAGUUAUCAUUAAGGGAGCUGCAGUGGAGUAGGCGGAGAAAAGGCCGCACCCUUCUCAGGAGGGGGAGGGGAGUGUUGCAAUACCUUUCUGGGAGUUCUCUGCUGCCUCCUGUCUUCUGAGGACCGCCCUGGGCCUGGAAGAUUCCCUUCCCCCUUCCCUCGUGAUCUGCAACUCGAGUCUUUCUGGAAGAUGGGCGGGAGUCUUCUGGGCAGGCUUAAAGGCUAACCUGGUGUGUGGGGCGUUGUCCUGCAGAGGAAUUGAACAGGUGUAAAAUUGGAGGGGCAAGACUUCCCACAGAUUUUCGAUUGUGUUUUUAAGUAUUGUAAUAGGGGCAAAUAAGGGAAAUAGGAGACUAGGCACUCACCUGGGGGUUUUAUGCAGCAAAACUACAGGUUAUUAUUGCUUGUGAUCCGCCCUGGAGAAUUUUUCACCGAGGUAGAUUAAAGACAUGCCCACCCAAAUUUUAAUAUUCUUCCACUUGCGAUCCUUGCUACAGUAUGAAAUUACAGUAUCGUGAAUUAGAAUAUAUAAGCAGAAUUUUAAGCAUUUUAAAAGAGCCCAGUACUUCAUGUCUGUCUCUCCCACUUCUGCAGCCCUAUCAAAGGGUAUUUUAGCACACUCAUUUUAGCCCCAUUUUCAUUUGUUGUACUGGCUUAUCCAAUCCCUAGACAGAGCACUGGCAUUCCCUCUCUCCUGAUCUUAGAAGUCCGAUGACUCAUGAAACCAGACAGAUUAGUUUCAUACACCACAAAUCGAGGCUGUAGCUGGGGCCUUAACAUUGCAGUUCUUUUAUUCCUCAGUACACUUUGUUAAUUCUUUGCCUUGAUCUUGACUUCAGUUUCUAUCACCACCCCCUCAGGUGGUGUUCCACACUUGGGCCUAUUCACAGUUCAGAGAGCUUUACAACAAUAGAUGCAUUGAGAAUCCAACCUAAAGUUCAGCUUUUUACUCCCAUGAAUGCCUCUUUCCUUUUUCUCCAUUUAUAAACUGAGCCAUUUCCUGUUAAUGGUUUACAGAUGAAUAUCUCCUCCCCCAAUAUCACCUGAUGUAUCUUACAUUUUGCCAGGCUUAGAUUGUCUUAAAAGGUACAUAAAUUAACAUGUGAAAUUUAUUCCUUAAUGCUUCAGUGGAUUUCAUGAGUGCAGUACAGAAGACUGAUUGUUCCUUGAGGACAGGACAGUGCUUGUUUAAGGCUGUAUUCCUGCUGUCUGAGCAGCAACAGGUCUUCGAGAUCAACAUGAUUUUCAUAAUCCCAAGAUGUUGCCUUUUCCAUUCUCAGAAGCAAGCAGAGGCACGCUGAUACUGUCACUAUGUUGAAUGCUGCUGUGCGGUUUGGAUUUUUCUAAGGUAGUUUAGGUAGGAGGUAUGUGUUUUGUAUGAAUUAAACUCUUUAAGUUACACCUUCCAUAAUUCAUGCAGUGUUAUGCAAUUGCCAUUUUUAAGUCUUGCAGUUUUCUUCGUACAUGAGGAUAAAGGUGCUUUAGAGUGCUUAAAUAGCGUGUCUUUUGCAACAUACUAUUUAUUCAUUUUAUUUUACACAUAUGAGAGUUUUGUCUGCAUACAUGUUUGUGAGCUAUAUGCAUGCCUAGUCCUUGGUGAGAUCAGAAGAGGGUGUUGGGUCCCUUGAAACUGUAGUUACAGGGGUUGUGACCCACCAUGUGGCUGAAGUGAAUUGAACCCAGCUUCUACAAGAGCAAAGAGUGUUCUAAACCCACUGAGCCAUCUUUCCAGCUCCAACAUACUAACUUCAGAUAGUGUUGGGACCAGCAAUACUGUGUAGUCAUUUUGAAGGGAAUCAUUCCAAUGAGUGCUGGAUUGUUUUGAAUGCUGUGGAACAUUUAAAUGUUUCAUAAAACAAAACUGUCAGAAGCUUCAAAGUAGAAAUUAAAAAGCUGAAGUAUUUCAGAAGGGAAACAAGCUACUUGCUGUAUUAGUUAGAGAAAUACAUAAUAGCUAAGAAAAUUUAAAAACCAUAUACUUGACAUUGCUGAGUAUCUGCCAGAUGAAAAGAAAUGCUCAGAGUGGUUCUGUUGAGCAAUAUAACAACUUGUUAUAUUAAAGACUUUCCCACAGAUUUAAACUCUAGUCUGUAAUUCAUGUAUGUAUGUUACAAAUGGAUGAAACUUACAAACGUGGCUGGUCUUGUCACUGUGCUUGUAUUUAUGUGAAAGCUUGGCAAUAAACUUAUGUCCUAAAAUGGUCA